rnacentral:rRNA from 1 species
CCUACGGGGGGCAGCAGUGAGGAAUAUUGGUCAAUGGACGGAAGUCUGAACCAGCCAUGCCGCGUGCAGGAAGACGGCUCUAUGAGUUGUAAACUGCUGUUGUACAAGGGUAAACCUGAAUACGUGUAUUCAGCUGAAAGUACUGUACGAAUAAGGAUCGGCUAACUCCGUGCCAGCAGCCGCGGUAAUACGGAGGAUCCAAGCGUUAUCCGGAUUUAUUGGGUGUAAAGGGUGCGUAGGCUGAUUGAUAAGUUAGAGGUGAAAUGUCCGAGCUUAACUCGGGAACUGCCUAUAAUACUGUUGGUCUAGAGAGUAGAUGCGGUAGGCGGAAUGUAGGGUGUAGCGGUGAAAUGCUUAGAGAUCAUACAGAACACCGAUAGCGAAGGCAGCUUACCAAUCUAUAUCUGACGUUGAGGCACGAAAGCGUGGGGAGCAAACAGGAUUAGAUACCCGGGUAGUC